UAGGGAAUAUUGGGCAAUGGCCGAGAGGCUGACCCAGCCAUGCCGCGUGCCGGAUGAAGGCUUUCUGAGUCGUAAACGGCUUUUGCCAGGGAAGAAUAAGGCCCAUGCGUGGGCCGACGACGGUACCUGGUGAAUAAGCACCGGCUAACUCCGUGCCAGCAGCCGCGGUAAUACGGAGGGUGCAAGCGUUGUCCGGAUUUAUUGGGUUUAAAGGGUGCGUAGGCGGCCGAUUAAGUCCGGGGUGAAAGCCCGUUGCUCAACAACGGAACUGCCCCGGAAACUGGUUGGCUUGAGUCCAGACGAGGUUGGCGGAAUGGAUGCUGUAGCGGUGAAAUGCAUAGAUAGCAUCCAGAACCCCGAUUGCGAAGGCAGCUGACUAGGCUGGUACUGACGCUGAGGCACGAAAGCGUGGGGAGCGAACAG
rnacentral:rRNA from 1 species